AGGGGCAAAAGCUGAAACCGGAGGACUCCGGCCCUGAGCUUCCGGAAGGGACAUCUGGGGAAGGUGGGGGGGUGGAAACGCGACAGGUUCAUGAAUUAUCCAUCAAGGUAGGAGAGGAGGUGUGGGUUCUUCAGAUGCUGGGACCCCGUUUCUCUUCCCUCUGGAUGUUGAAUAAGCUGAUGUAGGAAAUUACCAUUAUUUUUUCUGAUACCCCCAAGAAUGUCUCAAUGCUUUGAAUAUGCGGGAAAGGACUAGGACGUAUCCUUGUUUUUCGGAGGUCCCUACUUAGGUCCAGUUAGAAACUCUCCCAGCCAUCAAAAUCUGUCUCUCUGACACAUCCCUUACUUUACUUUGGUCUUUUCUUGUUGCCCAUACCCACAUCUCUAUCCCCUUACCCUGUUUUACUUAAAUAUAGCACUUAUUACUGCCUGA
rnacentral:lncRNA from 1 species